rnacentral:sRNA from 1 species
UGCCUGAAUGAGCUGAAAUCGGCGUUGA